GCUUCCUGGAAGCCUUCAAGAAAUGCUAAGGCGGUCCCAGGCUCAGCGAAGGCUUCCGGAAGUAUCACCAUACAGGCCUGUAAUCACAUGUGCUUUCUUCACUCUUGUUGGAAAUGACCCGGGUCGUUGGAAAUAUUUCCUGGUUUACACAGCGGAGAGGAGGUAAGGGAUGCACAUUCAGUGAUGCGAGCUGGGCUCCAUGUGGGCGUAUUUGUGCUGCCCGAAGCCAGAGGGUGACUAUUGCCUGGCUGGCAGGUCGGGAACCUCAUCCGCUGUGUGUGUGCAGGGUACAGAGUUGAAAUAGUUUCAGAAUUACCUGAAAAAUCUAGCACCCCUGCUGAGAUAGAUGUGCUUGCUCAGACCUUUUUUUACUGGCUCUGCACACCCAUCUUCCAGCUUCUGCCUGAUUUGCUGCUCAAGACAAGCACCUCUGUGCACUGGAGUCACCUGGCCAGUAGGGAGCGGCGGAAGUGCCUGGGAUGUAUGCAUCCCGGGACAGCCAGCAGCUAGUGCUAAAAGGCAGGACAAACCGCAGUGAUCUACACUCCAGAACCCCCUGUGCGAUGAGGCUGAGUCUGGGACAUCACCCGACAUCCCCCCCAUGCUUGGCAGCCACCUCUUUCACGUCUGUUUUCGCACCCCCUUUGCUGGUUUCUCCUGGGAGCACUUAAAAAAAAAAUCUCUCUCCAGGGUCUGCUUCUGGGGAACCCAAGCUACAUCACCUUCCCAGUAAGCUUUCUAGUUCAUCCCCUCAAAUGGCCCUACCGAUCUGUAACUUUUUAGUGUCCAUAAUUUUCAGGUUCGAUUCACAGCUGGGGUCAUUUUCAAGGGUUCUCUUCCUAUUCAGGCACCCCAGCGUCUCAGUACUGGGUGUAUUGGGAGGUCUUUGGGGCGGCAGGAGGAGCCUUUUGUACACUUUGACGUAGACUAACCCUGAAACAAGUCUGUAAGGUUAUAAAAUUCUGCGUUAUAAUCUGAGCAUGAAUUUCUGAGCCAAACGGUGCUAGAAAAGCACAAGAACUGCAAAAAUGUUUGUUUCUGAAGCCCUUGACUUAAUGUGUCUGAGCUUAUGUGUAAUGUCUAUCCAGAUCUAGCGCCAUGUCAAGUCAUUGCUCUAUGCCAUUUCAUUUCAUUGCUCCUCGCCAUUUCAUCAUUCAUUGUUUGCACUCUACACUCAUGUUUUAGGUGCUUGAGAAACGUUUAUUUCAUGAAGGAUGGAGAAAAUAGGGAAGCGACAAGCUUGUAUUAUGUUUUUUAUUGAUUUACUUUUAAGAUAGAUUAAUUAUCGAUCUUAGCUAUGAGCGUUUGAACCUUAAGUCUCUUGAUAAGGAGUUUAAAAAUAAGAUAAACUAAAUUGAGUUGGGAGACUCAAGUUGACAACUGAGCCCAGUUUAUUCCUCAGCUCCCCUGCCCCUCUCCCACCAUCCUUGAAGGUCAAAGCUGUCUUCAGGCCACAGACACCCCAGGGAUGAUUUGCAUUUUAAGUUCUGUAUUAUUGGAGGAAGGUGGGUUUAGGACACGUUCCACCCGCAAAUGCUACUUCAAAUGUGUUCCUAUAAAGAACACAACUUGGUGCACCUCGCAUUUUCCUCAAAAUGGUCAGUUUUGUUUACAGUGUAAAGGAUUAUCAUAAUACAUUGGAGGGAGAGAGUGAAAGUCCCACCAUGGACAGGUGCCAGCUGUGUGACCCUGGACGGAUGCUCCAUGUCACCCAGGAAUACGAAGGGGAGCGGAACGAGGCCGGUGAGCGGCAUGGACAUGGGAAAGCGAGACUGCCCAAUGGGGACACGUAUGAAGGGAAAUACGAAUAUGGUAAAAGGCACGGCCAGGGGACCUACAAAUUUAAAAGUGGUGCGCGGUACAUUGGAGAAUAUGUUAAAAAUAAAAAACACGGUCGAGGCACUUUUAUCUAUCCAGACGGAUCAAGAUAUGAAGGGGAGUGGGCGGACGACCUGAGGCAUGGCCACGGCGUGUACUACUACGUCAACAAUGACAGCUACACCGGGGAGUGGUUUGCUCACCAAAGGCACGGGCAAGGCACCUACUUCUACGCGGAGACGGGCAGCAAGUACGUGGGUACCUGGGUGAACGGCCAGCAGAAGGGCACGGCCGAGCUCAUCCACCUGAACCACAGGUACCAGGGCAAGUUCUUGAACAAAAAUCCCGUUGGCCCUGGAAAGUACGUGUUUGAUAUUGGCUGUGAACAGCACGGGGAAUAUCGCUUAACAGAUGUGGAAAGAGGAGAAGAGGAUGAGGAGGAGACACCGGUAACUGUCGUUCCAAAAUGGAAAGUGACCAAAAUCACAGAAUUGGCCUUGUGGACCCCGCCCCACCUCCAGGAGCAGCCCGCUGCGGAUGGACCAAGCCAGGGCGAGGCCCCAGGAGCUGAGGACGGGGGAGAGCCGGUGGAGGAGGUCCAGCCUCUGACCGACGACAUGUCAGAGGGGGAAUUAGAUUCAGUGCAUCCUGGAGAGGAGGAGGGAGACGCCAGCAGGGAGGACGGAGAGGAAUUCCACUACGACAGCUUAGAGCAGGGAAACGUUAAUUUUGAAGAAGAGGAAGCCAGACAGCCAGAGCUGCUGGAUUAAGAUGAAGCAAAAGCCCGAGUGGUAGGAGGUUGAGUCUUAAAGAUGCUUCUGUUACCAGGCCUCUGCUUCCAGUUCUUUAAAAGUUACCUGGUUGGGGCUUCCCUGGUUCCACAGUGGUAAAGAAUCUGCCUGCCAAUGCAGGGGACAUGGGUUUGAGCCCUUGUCCAGGAAGAUCCCACAUGCUGCCGAGCAACUAAGCCUGUGCACCACAACUACGGAGCCUGUGUGCCACAAUUAAUGAAGCCCGCGUGCCUAGAGCCCGUGCUCCGCAACAAGAGAAGCCACCAGCCCCUGCUAGCCACAACUAGAGAAAGGCCAUGUGCAGCAAUGAAGACCCAACGCAGCCAACAAAAAAAGUUACCAGGUUAUUUUGCCAUGAUUUUUUUUAGUGCUGUUUUCUCCUAGGAGAAAGAAAAACAUCAUAUGACUGUAACUCUGCUGAAGAUGGUUAAUGGAAAUGGAUUCUGGCUAAGUUAGCUGAGUGACUAGAUAGUGAAGUCCCUCUCUCAAAUUACCCUCAAGCGAGCCAGGAAAACACCUAGAAAAUAAGAAUUCCUGUGUGCAAUGCUCAUAAAAUGCAACGUAACAAAUACAUGUCAGGCUUGGGUAAGAAACCCUCAGGUGCCGCCGGAGGGGGCGCUCCCAUCCGUUCUGCGCCUUCGGCAUCUCGGGGUGGGCUUUAGGGCUCCCUGCCGGGAGGUCCCCGCAAAAGGCUGAGGGGCAGGGCUGACCGCAGAGAUGGCUUUGGCCUGUGUGUACGCUCUUCAGGCCUCCUGGUGGGCUGGGGGCUGACACCUACGUCACAUCCAAGUUCCUUGAGUACGGGCCCACCUUGUUUUAUUGUGUUUUGCUUUAUUGCAUUUUGCAGAUACUGUGUUUUUUUACAGAUUGAAGGUUAGGGGCAACCCUGUGUCAAGCAAGUCUAUUGGCACCAUCUUUCCAAGAGCAUUUGCUCACUUCACGUCUCUGGGUCACAUUUUGGUAAUUCUCACAAUAUUUCCAACUUUUUCAUUAUUUUUAUAUUUGUUGUGGUGAUCUGAUCUGUGAUCUUUUUUUUUUUUAAAUGAAGUAGAGUUGAUGUACAAUAUCGUGUCAGUUUCAGGGGUACAGCAAAGUGAUUCAGAUAUAUAUAUAUAUAACAAAAUAUCGAGUAUAGUUCCCUGUGCUGUACAGUAGGUCCUUGUUGGUUACCUAUUUUAUGUAUAGCAGUGUGUAUCUGCUAAGCCCAAACUCCUAAUUUAUCCCUCCCCCGACCUUUCCCCUUUGGCAACCAUAAGUUUGUUUUGUAUGUCCGUGAGGAGUCUGUUUCUGUUUUGUAAAUAAAUUCAUUUUUAUCUUAUUUUUUUGGAUUCCACAUAUAAGCGAUAUCAUAUGAUAUUUGUCUUUCUCUGUCUGUCUUACUUCACUUAGUAUGAUGAGCUCUAGGUCCAUCCAUUGCUACCAAUGGCAUGAUUUCAUUCUUUUUUUAUGGCUCAGUGAUAAUUCCAGUGAUCAGUGAUCUUUGACAUGACUAUUGCCAUUGUUUUGGGACACCAUGAGCUGCACCCAUAUAAGAUGGCCAACUAAAUGGAUCAAUGUUGUGAGUGUUCUGACUGCUCCACUGACUGGCUGUUGUCCCAUCUCUCCCUCUCUUUGGGCCUCCCUGUUCCCUGAGACACAACAAUAUUGAAAUUAGGCCAUUGAAUAACCCUACAGUGACCUCUAAAUGUUCAAGAGAAAUAAGAGUCACGUGUCUCUCACUUUAAAUCAAAAGCUAGAAAUGAUGACGCUUAGUGAGGAAGCCAUGUUGAAAGCCUAGACAGGCCAAAAGCUGGAUCUCUUGCACCAAACAGCCAAGUUGUGGAUGCAAAGGAAAAGUUCUUGGAGGAGAUUAAAAGCGCUGCCCCAGUGAACACACGAAUGAUGAGAAAGCGAGACAGCUUUAUCGCCGGUAUGGAGAAAGUUUUACUUGUCUGGAUAGAAGAUCAAACCAGCCACAAUAUUCCCUUAAGCCAGAGCCUAACCUAGAGCCAGGCCCUAACUCUCUUCAAUUCUGUGAAGGCUAAAAGAGGUGAGGAAGCUGCAGAGGAAACGUUUGAAGCCAGCAGAGGUUGGUUCAUGAGGUUUAAGGAAGAAGCCGUCUCCUGACAUAGAAGUAGGAGAUAAAGCAGCAAGUGCUGAUGUGGAAGCUGCAGCAAGUUAUCCAGAAGAUCUAGCUAAGUAAUUAAUGAAGGUGGCUACAUCUGUUAUCCAGCGUAGACAAAACAGCCUGCAUUGGAAGAAGAUGCCGUCUAGGAGUUUCAUAGCUAGAGAGGAGAAGUCAGUGACUGGCUUCAAAGCUUCAGAGGACAGGCUGACUCUCUCAUUAGGGGCUAAUGCAGUUAGUGACUUGCAGUUGAAGCCAUUGCUCAUUUAACAUUCUGAAAAUCCUAAGACCCUUAAGAAUUAUGCUAAAUCUACUCUGCCUGUGCUCUGUAAAUGCAACGACAAAACCUGGAUGACAGCACAUAUGUUUACAACAUGGGUUACUGAAUAUUUUAAGCCCACUGUUGAGAACUACUGCUCAGAGAAAAAGAUUCCUUUCAAAAUAUUACUGCUCACUGACAAGGCACCUGGUCACCCGAGAGCUCUGAUGGAGAUGUACAGUGAGAUUAGCGUUGUUUUCAUGACUACUAACACAACAUCCACUCUGCAGUCCAUGGAUUAAGGAGUAAUUUCAGCUUUCAAGUCUUACUAUUUAAGAAAUACAUUUCGGAAGGCUGUAGUUGCCAUAGAUGAUAGUUCCUCUGAUGGAUCUGGGCAAAGUAAGUCGCAAACCUUCUGGAAAGGGUUCACCAUUCUAGAUGCCAUUCGUAACAUUCGUGAUUCAUGGGAAGAGGUCAAAGCAUCAACAUUAACAGGAGUUUGGAAGAAGUUGAUUCCAGCCCUCGUGGAUGACUUUGAGGGCUUCAAGACCUCAUGGAGGAAGUAACUGCAGAUGUGGUGGAAACACCAAGAGAAGUAGAAUUAGAAGUGGAGUCUGAAGAUGGGACUGAAUUGCUGCAAUUUCAUGAUAGAACUUAAUCGAUUGAGGAGUUGCUUCUUAUGGAUGAGCAAAGAAAGUGGUUCCUUGAGAUGGAAUCUUACUCCUGGUGAAGAUGCUGUGCAGACUGUUGAAACGACAGCAAAGGAUUUAGAAUGUUACAUAAACUUAGUUGAUAAGGCAGCUGCAGGAUUUGAGGGGAUUGACUCCAACUUUGAAAGAAGUUCUACUGCGGGCAAAAUGCUAUCACACAGCACUGCUGCUACAGAGAAAUCAUUCGUGAAAGGAAGAGUCAGUUGACGUGGCAAACUUCAUCGGGGUCUUCUUUCAAAAACUGCCACAGCUGCUCCAAACUUCAGCAGCCACCACCCCGACCAGCCAGCCGCCGUCAACAUCCAAGAAAGACCCUCCACCAGCAGCAAGAUUUUGACUCACGGAAGGCUCAGAUGACGGUUAGCAAUUUUUAGCAAUAAAAUAUUUUAAAAUUAAAGUAUGUACACUGAUUUUUAUUUUUAAAAAAUUUUAUGGGAGUAGAGUUGAUUUACAAUGUUGUGUUCGUUUCUGCUGU